GAGACUUUAGUAUAAUGGUAAAUACAUGUGACUUUUAAUCAUUAAGAUAUAGGUUCGAAUCCUAUAAGUCUUA
rfam:Triticum urartu cultivar G1812 contig1326141, whole genome shotgun sequence.